UACGUAGGGUGCAAGCGUUAAUCGGAAUUACUGGGCGUAAAGCGUGCGCAGGCGGUUGUGCAAGUCAGGUGUGAAAUCCCCGGGCUUAACCUGGGAACUGCACUUGUGACUGCACAGCUGGAGUGCGGCAGAGGGGGAUGGAAUUCCGCGUGUAGCAGUGAAAUGCGUAGAUAUGCGGAGGAACACCGAUGGCGAAGGCAAUCCCCUGGGCCUGCACUGACGCUCAUGCACGAAAGCGUGGGGAGCGAACAGG
rnacentral:rRNA from 1 species